UAUUUUGACUAUACAAAGGUAUUGAAAUAAGAUUUUAAUUGAAUGCUAAGAGAAUGGAAUUUCAGAAAAAAACUUUUUUUAAAUUAAAAAUUGAAAUUUUUUUAAUUUGUGCAGAAACAAUUAUUAACAUUAAGGACAAGAAGACCCUAUGAAUUUUUAAAAUUUUUAAUAAUAAUAAAUUACUAUUAUUAAAAAUUUUAGCUGGGGCGGCUAAAAAAUAUAAUUAACUUUUUAAGAAUAAAACGAUCCACUAAUAAUGAUUACAUGUUAAAUACUCUAGGGAUAACAGCGUUAUAUUUUUUGAUAGACCAUAUUGACAAAAAAGUUUGCGACCUCGAUGUUGGAUUAGGAUACUUUUUUAAUGAAGAUAUUAAAAAAAGAAGUUUGUUCAACUUUUAAUUUCCU
rnacentral:rRNA from 1 species